rnacentral:rRNA from 1 species
UCCGUAGGUGGAUAAUUAAGUCAGAGGUGAAAUCCUGCAGCUCAACUGUAGAAUUGCCUUUGAAACUGGUUAUCUUGAAUUAUUGUGAAGUGGUUAGAAUAUGUAGUGUAGCGGUGAAAUGCAUAGAUAUUACAUAGAAUACCAAUUGCGAAGGCAGAUCACUAACAAUAUAUUGACACUGAUGGACGAAAGCGUGGGGAGCGAACAGGAUUAGAUACCCUGGUAGUCC